GACGAACGCUGGCGGCGUGCUUAACACAUGCAAGUCGAACGGAAAGGCCCUGCUUUCAGGGUACUCGAGUGGCGAACGGGUGAGUAACACGUGGGUGAUCUGCCCUCCACUUCGGGAUAAGCCUGGGCAACUGGGUCUAAUACCGGCUAGGAGCCAUUUUUAGUGUGAUGGUUGGAAAGUUUUUUCGGUGUAGGAUGAGCUCGCGGCCUAUCGGCUUGUUGGUGGGGUGAUGGCCUACCAAGGCGGCGACGGGUAGCCGGCCUGAGGGGGUGGACGGCCACACUGGGACUGAGAGGAGGCCGAGGCUCCGACGGGAGGCAGCAGUGGGGAAUAUUGACGAAUGGGCGCAAGCCGGAUGAAGAGGCGCCGCGUGGGGGAUGACGGCCUUAGGGGUGAAGACUACUUUCGUAAGGGACGAAGCAUUUUGUGACGGUACCUAGACAAGAAGCACCGGCUAACUACGUG
rnacentral:rRNA from 1 species